rnacentral:rRNA from 1 species
GACAGAGGAUGCAAGCGUUAUCCGGAUUUAUUGGGUUUAAAGGGUGCGUAGGCGGCCUGUUAAGUCAGGGGUGAAAGACGGUAGCUCAACUAUCGCAGUGCCCUUGAUACUGAUGGGCUUGAAUGGACUAGAGGUAGGCGGAAUGAGACAAGUAGCGGUGAAAUGCAUAGAUAUGUCUCAGAACACCGAUUGCGAAGGCAGCUUACUAUGGUCUUAUUGACGCUGAGGCACGAAAGCGUGGGGGAUCAAACAGG